rnacentral:tRNA from 1 species
GCCCGCUUGGCGGAACAGGUAGACGCACGGGACUUAAAAUCCCGAGGCUUCGGCCGUGCCGGUUCGAGUCCGGCAGCGGGCACCA